rnacentral:rRNA from 1 species
GAUGAACGCUGGCGGCGUGCUUAACACAUGCAAGUCGAACGAUGAUGCUGGUGCUUGCACUGGUGGAUUAGUGGCGAACGGGUGAGUAACACGUGAGUAACCUGCCCCUGACUUCGGGAUAAGCCCGGGAAACUGGGUCUAAUACCGGAUAUGACUUCCUGCUGCAUGGCAGGGGGUGGAAAGAUUUAUCGGUUGGGGAUGGACUCGCGGCCUAUCAGCUUGUUGGUGAGGUAAUGGCUCACCAAGGCGACGACGGGUAGCCGGCCUGAGAGGGUGACCGGCCACACUGGGACUGAGACACGGCCCAGACUCCUACGGGAGGCAGCAGUGGGGAAUAUUGCACAAUGGGCGAAAGCCUGAUGCAGCGACGCCGCGUGAGGGAUGACGGCCUUCGGGUUGUAAACCUCUUUCAGUAGGGAAGAAGCCCCUUUUUGGGGUGACGGUACUUGCAGAAGAAGCGCCGGCUAACUACGUG